rnacentral:rRNA from 1 species
GACGAACGCUGGCGGCGUGCUUAACACAUGCAAGUCGAACGGAAAGGCCUCUUUCGGGGGGUACUCGAGUGGCGAACGGGUGAGUAACACGUGAGUAACCUGCCCUUGACUUUGGGAUAACUUCAGGAAACUGGGGCUAAUACCGGAUAGGAGCUCCUGCUGCAUGGUGGGGGUUGGAAAGUUUCGGCGGUUGGGGAUGGACUCGCGGCUUAUCAGCUUGUUGGUGGGGUAGUGGCUUACCAAGGCUUUGACGGGUAGCCGGCCUGAGAGGGUGACCGGCCACAUUGGGACUGAGAUACGGCCCAGACUCCUACGGGAGGCAGCAGUGGGGAAUAUUGCACAAUGGGUGGAAGCCUGAUGCAGCAACGCCGUGUGCGGGAGGACGGCCUUCGGGUUGUAAACCGCUUUCGCUCAUGACGAAGCUUUGUGUGACGGCAGUGGGUAAGGAAGCACCGGCUAACUACGUG